CAUGUAUACAGACAUGUAUCUUUUAGAUGUUUCAUACUCUAGGCCUAUUCAUCAUCAUAUUGUGUCGUGGUGGUGACGGUGUUAUCAUUUUUCAUUAUUUUCUUGUAAUAAUUAGGCCUAUAAAUGCAUAAUCAUGUUCAUGUUUUGUGCUGUCAUGCUUUGCAGAUGACUGAGAAUAUUACUGAAGGAUCCUACAUGGAAGCUGUCUGAUUACACUGAGUGAUUCCUCUGGUGUGGUGUACCUCAGAGAAAAUAAACACUGUUGCAAGAGCUCAGAAGAUAUCCUUAUUGCUGGAUGGUUGCUCUCUGGUCGUACUUGAGCCCCCUGGACCAUGUCUGCAAAUGCUUCUGAACAUUGACAGAAUUUCUAAAGGAUCGCUGAGGACUCCCCCUCCAUGCGUGACAUCUUUGAGAAAUUUCCACGCUUUCUGGAGAUGCCAAGUUUGACUGGAACCAACUUUGCAUCCCUCGGCACUGACACUGAGAAGGUUUCAAGGACCCCACUACUAGGAAGCGAGAGUUUGACACGGCAGUGUCAUCACUGCCAUGGAUGACAAUGUAACCAUUCCUGUUGCUGAUUGCCUGACUUGCGCAGUGACAAGCUUUUCAUGCUCUACUGGGUGUGUAACUUGGCAUAUCCACCACAGUUUAACUCUGUUUUUGCCUCUUUUGAAUAUGUGUACGAUAUAACCAUCUCAACCAAAAAGUGGGCCAAGGUACUGGAACAUUUCUCACUUCAAGUUGCUCUGUAGUCACUGGACAUUUUUUAAAACAUCUACGCAAACACCACCACUCCACACCAUGUGUAUUUUAAUUACUUCUGAUUCCACUGACAUGCAGACUACAUCCUAUGCAGAUUCAGGUAAUUUACCUGG